rnacentral:rRNA from 1 species
GCUUAACACAUGCAAGUCGAGCGAGAAUCGUUUAUUGAAGGCUUCGGCUGGAAAUAGAUGAGGAAAGCGGCGAACGGGUAAGUAACGCGUGGGCAACCUGGCCUUAAGAAAAGGAUAGCCCCCGGAAACGGGGAGUAAUACUUUAUGAGAAUGAAAGAGGGCAUCCUACUUUCAGUCAAAGCGCAAGCGCUUAAGGAUGGGCCCGCGUAUCAUUAGCUAGUUGGUGAGAUAACAGCCCACCAAGGCAACGAUGAUUAGCCGGUCUGAGAGGGCGAACGGCCACAUUGGAACUGAGAGACGGUCCAAACUCCUACGGGAGGCAGCAGUGGGGAAUAUUGCGCAAUGGAGAAGAACUCUGACGCAGCAAUACCGCGUGAGCGAAGAAGGUCUUCGGAUCGUAAAGCUCUGUUAUCAGGGAAGAAGAAAAUGACGGUACCUGAUGAGCAAGUCCCGGCUAACUACGUGCCAGCAGCCGCGGUAACAC